UUAAUCUGCGGGAUUAUCUUUGCCUUUCUUCUCUUAUUUACGUCCGCAGAUGAAGUUGUCCGAUCAGCGAUCAGGAGAUCCAAAUCUUUGAUGUCAUUGUGAUGGAUGUGGCGUUUGUGAGGAAACAGGCUGGGAGGAGAACACCGGGAGGUGGAGGUUUAGGCUGGCCGCAUAGCAGAUCGACAUGCCCGCUUCUGCUUCAGCUCUCUCCGCCGUCUAAGUCGCUGCUGGUCCGGCUACAAUCCACGGCGAGCUCUGGUCAACAACCCGCAGUGCAUACAGCAGUCCACCCGUAGAAACGUGCUAUCUACACUGCAGUGCAGUCACCAUGUUUGCAGAUUUCCUGGAGUAGUAACCACACCUCAAACACAAGCUCCUUAUUCCUCUCCGUCUCUGUCUCCGCUCCAUGUUCACUCCAAACAGCUUGUAGCUGCUUUGAUAAACACACACAGCUCCUGUGACCGAUCACACACGAAAACAAACAUUUUAUCGUCGAAUAAUCCGGAGACAAAAAGGUCCAAAACCAAAGUUAAACCCAGUUUAUCUCCAGGUACUCCUUCAAAGUCGUCCGGCUUUGAAGGAGUUCUAUUACCGUCAUUAUACCGAUAAUGUGCUGAAGAUCGUGUCAAACGACGACGGCGGAGGAGAAUCUGUCUGCGGAGGGAUCAGGAUGCGGAUUAAGUCACGUGAUACACGGACACGCGUGUUUCGACCAGAAAAACAUCACAGCUGAGUCUGGACAAAACAAUGUCACUCUGCCAUGUUGAGCUCCAAACAAUAUCAUACUUGUGGAGUGGAGAAGAGCUGACCUUGAUCCACAAGAUGUUAUUUCAUUUCGGAAGAACUACUUUGUUCCCGUCAGGCAGCAUCCAUCUUUUAUGAACCGGGUGGAUCUGCAGGACAGACAGAUGAAGGAUGGAGACGUGUCUGUGAUUCUGAACAAUGUGAUGAUUAAUGACACUGGAACAUACGAGUGUCAUACCUUCAUGGAGAAAACGAAAUCAUGGGAAAACAUCAGCAUCAUCUCCCUGAGUGUUGUUGAUCCUCCAGGUCAGACAGGAGGACACACAGAGGAUGGAGGGAAUAAAUAUUGUGGGCUGAUAGCUUCUGUUUUGUUACUUCUUGGGCUCGUUGUUGUUGCUCUUGUGAUCGCUACAAAACUGCCAAAAAAAAUGUACCAUCUUCCUUCUGAUGAAUCAGCUGACAUCUGUUCUGAUAUCAGAGUGUCAGGAGGAUGAAAACAGCAGCCUGAUAACAUCAAGUCUUACAUGGACGGAU